GACGAACGCUGGCGGCGUGCUUAACACAUGCAAGUCGAACGGAAAGGCCCUGCUUUUGUGGGGUGCUCGCGUGGCGAACGGGUGUGUAACCCGUGAGUCACCUGCCCUUGACUUUGGGAUAUCUUCAGGAAACUGGGGCUAAUACCGGCUAGGUGCUCCUGCUGCAUGGUGGGGGUCGGAAAGUUUCGGCGGUUGGGGAUGGACUCGCGGCUUAUCAGUUUGUUGGUGGGGUAGUGGCUUACCAAGGCUUCGACGGGUAGCCGGCCUGAGAGGGUGACCGGCGACAUUGGGCCUGAGAGACGGCCCAGACUGCUACAGGAGACAGCAGUGGGAAAUAUUGCACAAUGGGCGGAAGCCUGAUGCAGCAACGCCGCGUGCGGGAUGACGGCCUUCGGGUUGUAAACCGCUUUCGCCUGUGACGAAGCGUGAGUGACGGUAAUGGGUAAAGAAGCACCGGCUAACUACGUG
rnacentral:rRNA from 1 species